GAGCUGUGGAGGGGCGUCAUCGCCUCCUAGCAACGCUCCUAGCAACCGGAUAACAUCUGCUCCCUCUGGUCCAAUGCGAGCUGAGAACAGCUGCGCGCCCGCCUCGCGUUGCGAACCCCGAGCGAGAGGCGCUUCAGAGACUGGAGGGACGGACCUGCAGGAGCCAGGGCUGCCCGCCGAGCUGCAGUUGCCGCCGCUGCCACUGUCGCGCCGCCGCCACCGCCGUAGCUGUCGCCGUCAGUGCCCUUCUGAAGAGUGACAGCGCCGUAAAAGCGGGAGGGAGCACCGAACCCCGCGCCUUUAUGAAACAGGUGCAUGCGCCGGUCUCCUGGUGAGUGGACCCAGCUCGCAAGGUAGCCAUUCAUGAGUCUGAGGCUUUGAGAAAUGCUCACUGUGAAAAGGGGAACUUUCACCAGAUUUUCUGAAGCUGUCCUAGAAAUACACUUUUCAGAUUGAUUCAGCAUUACCAGCUUAUCCAACAAAAGUAUUAACAUAUACAUUAACAACGUCGAAAGUAGCCUACUUUAAGAGAAAAUAUGCAGAAGAAGAAGAUUUACAUCAAGAUUACCAUGGGUAUUUUCCAAAACACCUGAUAUUGCCUGAGGACAGGACUUGCAUUCUUAAACUUUCGCUGGAGAAGCUCAGAUUUCUUGAAGACCCAGAAACCUACUUGAGAAGGUCUGUGUUAAUUAACAAUUUGCUGAGGAAGAUCCACCUAGAGACGGAGAAAGAGAGCUAUGAAUACUUUAAAGAAGCUCCCUGUUAUAAGACUGCUUAUUCUGAUACAAGAAAACGGCUGAAGUUUAUGGUACAGGAAUGCUGUUCUCAGUCCCUCUAUUACGAAGAGCUGCGUUCAUAUCAUAUCGUGCCUUAUGCUUCGGAGAAUGCCAUUUAUGGAAUGGGCUACACUAGCAGCCACUUGGAGCAAAAUUCUCAGUUGCUUAUUUAUAAAAUGAAUUAGAAUUAACUGUUAAAGUCCAUUGAUACCUUGUUUCUAAAUGCCUGAACUGUUCAUAGUGAAGAUGUUAACAUAAGGCACUAAUUACCAGUGCCCUUGAGAUCAGAGAUGAGAUGCAUGCUGAACUGAUUGGAGAGAACCCUGGUUAUUAUUCAGCAGUCCUUAGUAUCAUCCAGCCAAAUUGAAAAUAUGUCCAUGUAUUAUAAAGCAGAGAAUAAGUGCUUUAGAAGCAAAGUUUUCUUGCUUUUUUUUUUUUUUUUUUAAAGAUAGUGUGUGUAGGAAGGGACCUAAACUAAGUUCCUUUGCCGAUUUAAACAUUUCAAACCACCUAUUUCCAAAUUCUACCACUUUUCGUGGUAAGUAACAGAUUCAUAUUAAACAGAUAAUGUCUUGUCCCUGAAGAUUAAGGGUGGAACAAAUUUAAUCUUCUGUAAAUGAUGAAAGGAAGGGUCAGUCCUUUCUGAAAUGCUUUGGUUUGUCAAGCAUUGUGCCAAAUAAUUGACACCAUUCUCCUUUUACCAUUAGUGACAAUUCAAGAUGUGGCCAACCUGCUACAAUUUAACUGCUGAAUGUUAACAACCAGAACACUCCACACUGAUCCAUUUUACAUUUCUUUUUUUUUUGCUUCAUAGAAUUUUCUCUUUAAAAGUGGAAUUUAUAAAAUAGCCUUGCAGAUGGGCUUAUCUCUAAGUUCUAGGGGUCAAUUAAAAUUUGUGGUGGGCCUUUAGUUGCAUUUAAAUUUAUUUAUGAUGUCACAUUUACAGGCUGUGAAGCUCAGGAAAUGGGUAGGCAGGUCAUAUUUGAUUUUAAUAGGCAGAUAACUUUAAAGAAUAUUAUCUGCAAAAAAAAAAUGGUGAGAACAAGAAAUCCUACAUGAUGUUGUUUCUUCAUCUGAGAGUUCAUUUAAGGCUGUCUAGAUGAACCUUUGCACUGAUUUUUGUAUAAUAGUUGACCGUUCACUAUUUGACAAAAUGUUUCAGAAUGCCUUUAGUGGUGAAGUUGAGAUAAGUUCCUAUAUUUUGCAAUUUGAAAGAUAAUUAGUUAACAAGUUGCAUAGCUUCCUGAAAUUGUUUGAAAUGGUUCAUGAUGUUCUUUGAGGUUUGAGUGAAAUGUCUGAUUUCAGUGUCUGGACUUUUGUUCCAUGGCGCACAUCAUUUAAAGAAUUGUCAUUAACUGAUAAAACAGAUUGGAAAACUAGGUGCCAAAGGUACAUUUAAGAAAAUACCAAAGACCCAAAGAUGAGUGUUAGAUAGACUAUGAUAAUGAAGAUAAGAACCUAAAGUAAGGAUUAUACAGGACAUGGAAGAACAUUGUUAAAGGGAUUUGGAAUGAUAUGCUUACCAACGUGCUUUCAGAGCUCUUUAUACAUACAUGAUAGUAACAGUCAAGGGCACUGCUUGGACCUUCAGUGGUCCAAUGUUUUCACAAAUCUAAACAUUGUGACUUUUCAACAUUGUAUCUUCCCUUGUUGAAGGCCAUCUUGUAAUCAAGAAGGUCUUUAUCUCUUCAAGAGAAUUUUGUUUUUAGUUUUGAUUCACUACUUGCUCCCUCUAAUGAAUUAUCAGGGUGAUUAACAUGGAUGCUUUUGGUAUAAAGAAUAUGCGCCCCCUAAUUAGCAUGCAUUGUUAAAGACCACAUAGAUAUAUAACUGAUAAAAUUAUCAGGUUUCUAUUUAAUUGCUCAGUCAGAAUUAGAGAAAAAUGAUUUGGAACAAAUUGAAAACUUAUAAUUGGGGCUAAUUUUUAAGGCAAUUUAGUAUGAAUGGUGAGAUAGCUUUGACAUACAAAUAUAUUUAAAAAUUAAUUUAAGGGCAAAAUGUGUUACCAAAUUUCAAAAACUUUAUUUCACUACUUAUACCAUACCUUACUUCUCAGAAUGUGUUUAUUAAAAUGUAGUUUUCUUAAACAAUGGAAAUAUUAAUUGAACCAACACCAAAUUUGAUAGGAUAAUUAUGUACUUUGAAAAAUAGAAUUAGUUCUCUAAUAGUUUAAAACUUCUUACCAAUAGGGACAUUUGGCUUGGUUUAGGACAGUAUCUAUAAGAAAAACACACCAGUGCUAAUAGAUAUGACUUACAAAAAUGCAACAUAUUGAAAUUGUUUGACAAUAUAAGUGUGUAUACUUUGGGACUGAAAAGAGAGGGGGAGAAAAAACUACCAAGAAAGUGUAAUUUUGUAAAAUUUGCUGUUUGUCUGAAAUCUUAAAGCAAGAACUCUUGGGCAAUGAACCUGUAACAGACAUAAAGUCUGUUUUAUUUGAUGACAUCAUUAACUGAGCUCUCUGAAUUUUACAUUCAUAUACAGAGAAGGAACUGUCUUAGAAAUCAUUGAUAUUUGUGAAUAUGCUUCUCUUUUUUAAGAAAUAUGUGUUGAUUUCAAACCAGGUUAUUUAAAAACUAUCUUUUAGAGCAUUUAAUUUCUUUUCCAAUAAACAAUUCAUAGAUAAGGAGCUGACUAAUGUUAUCUUGACUCAUUGAAAAAUUAUAAUUUGUGUUUAAACUACACUAGUCUGAGUUAACCAAUAAGAUUGCUGUGAUUUUACCAUGGCAACCUGUUACAUAGGGACCUGCUCUACUGUCUCCAUCCUACACACUGUUAUGGGUGAUGCAAAGGUAGGAAAACAAUGACAAGUUUUGAAAACAGUGACAACUUUUUUGAACCUGGACAUCUUUUCUUUGGUGACAAGAGUCAUGCUUAAGGUAAGAAAGAUAGAAUGGGAAAGGUAUGAGACUAAUUUUGUGGGGGCCCAAACAGCCUAAAGUUCCCAUAAAGAAGAAGAAAAACAAACAGAGAAAAAACAAGAGGAAGAAAAAAGGAGGGGAAAAUACAGAGAUAAAAGGAACAGAAUUAGCAAGUGAAAGCGAAAGUUGUUUCAUGUGAGGGUUGUUGCUUGCUUGCUUGCUGUACUCAAUUGUUCUUUCCUAUGUCUGCUGUACUUCCCAAAUCUGAAUACCCACAGUGUAUUGAUCUUUUCUUUUAUUCACCAAUGAUGCAUAAGACUAGAUUCUAUUCAGUAUAUACAUGAUUUGAAAUGUGGUACCACUACAAAAUAUCCCUAAAAUGGAACUCCUUGGGUAGAUGAGAAAAGGAAAAUUAGAAAUUAAGUUGGAAGAAAGACUGAAUGGUGAGUGAGCCGGUGUACAUGUGGUUAAUCUCAAACACAUGAACAGAUUUCACUGUGCAUCCCAAGAUUUAGUAAAGUCAGUGCUAGAGGACUUGGAAGUAAGUGCGAUUCCCCACCAUUUAUUGAACAAGUUAUGAGUUGGGCAUGGUGCCAGGGUUGAGGAUACAUAGGUGAGUGAUGCACAAUUCUUUUGUCUAAGCUGUUCAUUGAUGAGGGAGGAACUCAGAGAUGUUUGGUUUUAUUUGAAAAUGUAAGAAUUCUUUACUGGGAGUAGCACUUGCAUUUCUCUUUUCCAAACUAUGGGAUGGUUAUCAAACAAGUCUCUCCAAAGGUGUUUGUAGCUAAGAAGAUGCACAGGAAGAAGAGAAGGUAUACUGAGCUAGAUUUUAGAGCAGAAGGAGAGUACGUUUUGCUUUGCAGUGUAUUUUAUACUUGGAAGAAUGAGAGAAAACCAGUGCUGCAGAAGGGAGGUGUCGCUCAUCGCUGGGGCACAAGAGGUUGUAGGCGAGGAAGGGAGACCAGUGAAAGUGCAGAACAACUCCUCCCCGACCUCUCUGGCUUUGAUGUACUUUCCCAUGGCAAAUCAGGUUAGUAUUGUCACGAAUAUCCCUGAAGUGAUAGCAGAAUCAGGAAAUCACAGUCUGAGAGUUGUAUAUAAUGUGUUCAAGGUUAGAGGGCAGUUUUCUUUAAUUUGCCUUGUAUUGGUAAAUUGCUAAAAUGAACCUCGGGAUUUCUUAACAGCAGUUGCUGGAGGCAUGCUUCUCUCCCAGUUGCUUCCUUUCUGAAUCACAGCUCAACCAGCCCCUGUCCUUUCAGUCUGUUGGAAGUGGAGCUCAUGGUUCUAAAACUCUCUCCCCUCUCUUUUUUAAAAUUUUGAUUGGUGUGUAGCUGAUUUACAAUGCUGUGUUACUUUCAGAUAUACAGCAAAGUGAAUCAGUUAUACAUAUACAUAUAACCACUCUUUGUUUUUAAAGAUUCUUUUCCCGUAAAGGCCAGUACAGAGUAUUGAGUAAAGUUCCCUGUGCUAUAAAGCAGGUUAUUAGUUACCUACUUUAUACUGUUGAUACUGAUUUGUUCAAAACUACUUGGAAGAAAGCAACAAUUUGCAGUACUGGUUGAACCCCCUUGAGAAGGGUUUCCAGAGUGUAUCAAACUAGAAUCCACCAUAGUUUCUUGAUAGAAUUAUUUUAAAUACUAUUUGACAUAGUCAUUAAAUAACUAUAUACUAAUGUAAUCUUUAUGUUUCUAGAGUUCAAUGUAACGGUUGUAAUUUCUACAUAUUUUGCUAAAUACCUUAGUUUGGAAACAAUGGAAGAUCAUGUGUAGUUAAUUCAAGCCGUUGGUUCAUGAGUAUUUAUGUAAUAUUUGAAAUUUAAAUUUAUGUUCUUUUUUCCCAUCAAACUUCAUUACUGUACAUCACCAAUGUGACAUGUCUCAUGAUUAUUAUUUCCUUAUUAAGUGGGCCAUGUCUAAAAGUUUGUCCCUUCAUGGUUGAACCCUUUGGAUUGUAUUUCUCCAUUAAAGUUUCUGUCUUUCCAUAAAGAUUAUUCUACAGUUGAGUGGAUAAAGAACAUUCCUCUACAUUAACACUUUUCAAAUCUUGUGCAUACAAGUCACCGGACAUCAAGUUAGAAUACAAACCCUUUUUAGUAGGCCCGGAGUGGAGUCUGAGAAUCUGCAUUUCUCAAGCUUCCUAGAUGAUGUGGGUGCUGCUGGCUCACUGAACACACUUUGAGUAGCAAUGCUCUACAUGGCUCUGAGAAUGAAAAUAUACACUCAAGGCUACAGUCUUACUACUUUCAAAGCAUGUGCAUUCAUGUCUGCUUUCCAUAGAAAUUUUUUCUUCAAAGAAAUGAAAGGCAAGAAGUAUCAUCAGCUAAUUUUUCAAAUUGGCCCCAAAUAUUACAAUAUUCUAUAUGGUAAAAUCCCUAGAAAAUGAUUGAUAAGUUUUAUCUACAUCAAGUGCAGAAAGGGGAUAUGGAGGCAGUCAUGUACCAUUCUUGCAUAUCUGCAUGGAUUGAAGAAUUUGGUAAACCUAAACUGAAAAUGGUACUUGGAGUUUCAUCUUCUUGUCUUGAACUCUUUCUUCAGCUUUAUUCCAUGAAAAGUCCUCCCUUUGGUACAGACAUUCUGUUUCUCUUAAGCUGUUGGUGUCUGAGUGAGGGGUGGAGGAUUGGUGUGAAUGAGGAAGUCACCUGAAUUGUCUGAUUUGAGUAUGCCAAGUAAUUUUUGUCAGGCUCUCUUUAGAUCUUAAAUUGUUGGUAUAGCUAUUGUGAAAUAUAGUGCCAUAAAUUUGUCACAAAAUGAAAGGAGAAAAGCAGAAAUUUAGUUCUGUGGAAUGCACUAAAAAACCAAGCAGAUGGUGUUCUACAACAUUUAUGUGGGGAAAUGUGUAUCUGUUACAUAAUCUAAAAUAUGUCUUUUUCACAUUUAAAAUAUUUGGGUCAUGAUUUAGUUUUUAUUGGAUUGUUUUUUAAACUUAGAAGAAGAAGAAAGGUCACUGUAUUUUAAGGCAUAUUUGACAUGUUACUAAUAAAAUUUUAUUUCUGGUGAAA